UACGGGGGGGGUAAGCGUUGUUCGGAAUUACUGGGCGUAAAGGGCUCGUAGGCGGCCAACUAAGUCAUACGUGAAAUCCCUCAGCUUAACUGGGGAACUGCGUGUGAUACUGGAUGGCUUGGAUUUGGGAGAGGGAUGCGGAAUUCCAGGUGUAGCGGUGAAAUGCGUAGAUAUCCGGAGGAACACCGGUGGCGAAGGCGGCUUCCUGGACCGACACUGACGCUGAGGCGCGAAAGCUAGGGGAGCAAACGGG
rnacentral:rRNA from 1 species